rnacentral:tRNA from 1 species
GGGAAUGUGGCUCAGUGGUAGAGUGCUUGCCUAGCUUGUGGGAGGCCCUGGGUUCUAUCCCCAGCACUGCCA